GAUGAAGAACGUAGCGAAAUGCGAUACGUAAUGUGAAUUGCAAAUUCAGUGAAUCAUCGAGUCUUUGAACGCACAUUGCGCCCCCUGGUAUUCCGGGGGGCAUGCCUGUCCGAGUGUCAUUGCUGCCCUCAAGCACGGCUUGUGUGUUGGGCCCCGUCCUCCGAUUCCGGGGGACGGGCCCGAAAGGCAGCGGCGGCACCGCGUCCGGUCCUCGAGCGUAUGGGGCUUUGUCACCCGCUCUGUAGGCCCGGCCGGCGCUUGCCGAUCAACCCAAAUUUUUAUCCAGGUUGACCUCGGAUCAGGUAGGGAUACCCGCUGAACUUAAGCAUAUCAAUAAGCGGAGGA
rnacentral:misc_RNA from 1 species